rnacentral:rRNA from 1 species
AUUGAACGCUGGCGGCAUGCCUUGCACAUGCAAGUCGAACGGCAGCACGGGUGCUUGCACCUGGUGGCGAGUGGCGAACGGGUGAGUAAUACAUCGGAACAUGUCCUGUAGUGGGGGAUAGCCCGGCGAAAGCCGGAUUAAUACCGCAUACGAUCUACGGAUGAAAGCGGGGGACCUUCGGGCCUCGCGCUAUAGGGUUGGCCGAUGGCUGAUUAGCUAGUUGGUGGGGUAAAGGCCUACCAAGGCGACGAUCAGUAGCUGGUCUGAGAGGACGACCCGCCACACUGGGACUGAGACACGGCCCAGACUCCUACGGGAGGCAGCAGUGGGGAAUUUUGGACAAUGGGCGAAAGCCUGAUCCAGCAAUGCCGCGUGUGUGAAGAAGGCCUUCGGGUUGUAAAGCACUUUUGUCCGGAAAGAAAUCCUUGGCCCUAAUACGGUCGGGGGAUGACGGUACCGGAAGAAUAAGCACCGGCUAACUACGUG